rnacentral:rRNA from 1 species
UACGGAGGGUGCAAGCGUUAUCCGGAAUCACUGGGUUUAAAGGGUGCGUAGGCGGUUUUAUAAGUCAGGGGUGAAAGCAUGCAGCUUAACUGUAUAAUUGCCUUUGAUACUGUAAGACUUGAAUAAGGUUGAGGUUGGCGGAAUGUGACAUGUAGCGGUGAAAUGCUUAGAUAUGUCAUAGAACACCGAUUGCGAAGGCAGCUGACUGGGCCUUUAUUGACGCUGAGGCACGAAAGCGUGGGGAGCGAAC